UGCCAGCCGCCGCGGUAAUACGGAGGGGGUUAGCGUUAUUCGGAAUUACUGGGCGUAAAGCGCACGUAGGCGGGCUGUAAAGUUGGGGGUGAAAUCCCGGGGCUCAACCCCGGAACUGCCUCCAAAACUAAUAGCCUAGAGUUCGAGAGAGGUGAGUGGAAUUCCGAGUGUAGAGGUGAAAUUCGUAGAUAUUCGGAGGAACACCAGUGGCGAAGGCGGCUCACUGGCUCGAUACUGACGCUGAGGUGCGAAAGCGUGGGGAGCAAACAGGAUUAGAUA
rnacentral:rRNA from 1 species